CCAGAACACAAUUGUCUGUCCUGGUUGUUGUCCUGGUUCCCAUUGUAGUGGCCCUCACCCUGUCUUGGACACUCCCAUAUGGUCCAAAUACAGGCACCCAAAAGGGCUCAACAACAUCGUCCCGCACCAUUCAAGAGGACACAACAACACUGUCCCACAUCCCUGAAAGGGCAACAGUCUGCCCCACAGCAUGGAGGAAACAUGGCAGAAAAUGCUACUUCUUUUCUCCAGAGAGGGAACCAAAGGACUGGAAUGCCUCCCGUG